rnacentral:rRNA from 1 species
ACGAACGCUGGCGGCUUGCCUAAUACAUGCAAGUAGAACGCUGAAGGCGGAGCUUGCUUCUCUGGAUGAGUUGCGAACGGGUGAGUAACGCGUAGGUAACCUGCCUGGUAGCGGGGGAUAACUAUUGGAAACGAUAGCUAAUACCGCAUAACAGUAGAUAUCGCAUGAUAUCUACUUGAAAGGUGCAAUUGCAUCACUACCAGAUGGACCUGCGUUGUAUUAGCUAGUUGGUGAGGUAACGGCUCACCAAGGCGACGAUACAUAGCCGACCUGAGAGGGUGAUCGGCCACACUGGGACGGAGACACGGCCCAGACUCCUACGGGAGGCAGCAGUAGGGAAUCUUCGGCAAUGGACGGAAGUCUGACCGAGCAACGCCGCGUGAGUGAAGAAGGGUUUCGGAUCGUAAAGCUCUGUUGUAAGAGAAGAACGAGUGUGAGAGUGGAAAGUUCACACUGUGACGGUAUCUUACCAGAAAGGGACGGCUAACUACGUG